UUUUUUUUUUUGAAAUAUCAUUAAAUAAUUGAAAAGAGAUACAACAUAAAUGUAGCAUUCUUGUUGCAUUCAAUCUUUCCUCGAGAAGAAAUAAUAACUUUUAAGAAAAAACAGGCACCGUAGUUUCAACAAAUAGGAAAAAAGAAACAGAACGAAGCCCUCAAUACAACGAAUAUCUGUUGCCAUAAAAGAAGAACUAAAGACCCCAAAGCUUUUAGAAACUAAGGGUGGGUUUGGAUAGAUGAUUGGGUACGAUGCGGUGUGUUUAGCUUAUUUUUUGUCUCAUGCUACGAUAUUGCUACAGAAUCUAAUCUCACCGCUACCGCUAUUUUUAUACUAACUGCAAGUAAACGCACCACCCAUCCAAAAUCACACUAAAACUCAAAACAAGAUUGUAGAAACCUUCCUAUUAUAAAAAGGAAAAUAAAAGAAAAAACCUAAUAUUUAAUACUUACUGUAGCGACGUAAAAAUUUUAGCUUUGGUCGCUAAUUGUGGCGAUUUAUUAAAUAUUUGAAAAUCGACUUUUGGUUUUAUAAAAAGGAGUCGCCACCGAUCCUUUUUCUAGGUGUGAUCGGACACCUAAUAAAUCAUUUUUAAAACAAAAAGAAGGUCGAGUUUAGGUUUACAUUAAAAUCUAGAGAAAAAGUAGGAUUCGGGAGUCGGUUACGUGCGAGGAAGGUAUUAGCACCCUCGCGACGCCCAAAAUUGCUAUCUUGUAAAACACGUGUUGUCUUGAUUUUCAAAAAUAUGAGUUUAAUGUAAGAUUUAAUCGUGAUUCGAUUGAAACACAAGAAUUUUCAAUUUUUUUGAACUUUGAGAAGGAUAUACCGUCUUAACACGAGCCGACAAAAUCCAUCCAACAUAGCGAUGAAAUUCGAUGACUUAAUGUUAAAUCGGUACAGUGCCUCGAUUAUUAAAAUUAAUUAAACAAGAAUAUGAUUUUCGAGGUAAUGCAAAGCAAACUGAUAUGGAAUAAAAAUAAACAAGAGAGUCGGAAAUAUAUUGAAGCAAAAAAAAAAUAUGACAACAAUAUUAAAAGAAAAUAAUAAUGGUGCAUGCGAGAUUAAAUGUAAUAAUAGUAUCAAAUAUGGGAAAACAAUGAAUACACAUACAUAAAAAUGAUAUUAAGAACAUGUACAUCAAAACACAUAUAUAUAUAGGUGAUAAUAGUGUUAAAGAUAUAUUAUAUAUAACAUUUGAAUAUAUACUUGAGAUAGUAAAAACAUAACUUGUAAUGUUAAAAUAUAUACGUAAUAUUUACAUAUAUAUAAAAUAAAUAUUGAAAAAUACAUACACAUAAGAAAUAUAUACACCAAUACGUAUAAUAAUAUUAUAAAAAAAGAAAAUAAUACAAAAUAUUGAAAUGAAAUAAUGAAAACUACUAUGUAUACAUAUACACAUAUAUAAUGAAAUAUAUAAUAGUAUUAAUAACAAUAAUAAGCAUAAUAUAAAAAAAACAUAUAUGAAAUAGCAUGAGAAAUAUACGAAUUAGUAUAUAAAACUAACUAAUAGAGUAUAUACAUAUGAUAUAUUAAAAAGUGUAUGUACACGAUAUAUAAAAAAAUGUAUGCAUACAAAUAUAUAUACAUAAGAUGAUAUAGAAAUAUGUACAUGGAAUGAAAGAUGUUUACAUAAUAGUACUAAAUAUAGGUACUAAUAUAUAUAUAUACAUACAUAAUAUAGUUAAAAUGAACAUAUACAACAUAUAUUAGAAAUAUUAAUAACAGAAAAAUAUAUUAUAUACAUAUGCUAACGAUGCUACAUAAAUAUGUACCUAUAUGCAUUAAAAAAUCUAUAUAUAUAAUGGACAUGUACUAAUAAUGAUAAUAAGAGUAAUAAUAAUAUAUACAUGAUAUACACAUAAAUACAAGGUUUAAAAGGCAUGUAUAUUCGUAAUAUAUAUAAAAAAUACGUAUAUAAUAUAAUAUUAAAACAUUUACAUAAUAUGUAUACACACAUAAUAAAAAAAACAUACUAAUAUUAACAACAAUACUAAUAUUACAUAAAGAUACACCUAUAUAUAUUAGAGAUAUAUACAUAUAUAAUGAAAUACAUGAAUAAUACGAUAUUAAAAAAUGUAUACAUGAUAUGUAUAAUAAAAAUAAUAAUAUACAUAAUGUAAGAAUAUAAGAGUAUUAAAAAUAUAAAUAAAAAUGGUGAAGAAACGAGUAAAGAUAAUAUACAUAAGAAUAAGAAAAUAUUAUAAUAAAUACUAAAAAAUAUCUAUAUAUAUACAUAUAUAUGCAUGUAUAAUGACGAAAAAAAUAAUAAUAAUAGUGAAAAUUAUAGAUAUAAUAAUAAUAGAAAUGAUAAUACCAUAUGAAAAGUAUAUAUACAUACACAUAUACUAAAAUACAUACUAACAUUAAUAAUAAAUAUAAUAUUAUAAUACUAAUAAUGAUAACAUGAAAUCAAAGUAACUAAAAAAGCACUAUAUAUAAGUAUAUACAUAUGCAUAUGUAAGGAAAAUAUAUACUUAAUAUAUAAAAAUAAUAUUAAGUAUCAAUAAUAUAAUGAUAAUAGAGAAAUUAAAAUUACAAAUUUUAUUUGAGAGCAAAAACGACAAAAAAAGGACGAAAUUGAUAUCAAAAUAGAAUUUUUGGGGCGAAAUUAGAAAUAAAAUAGGACACGGGGCCAAAUUGCAACGCGCGCAUGACUUAGAGGGACCAAGAGCACAAUAUUCCCAAUUAUUAAGACGCUGCACAGUAGGAGGGGCCAAUUUAUAAAACAGAUUAAAUUUCAGGGCCAAUUUAUAAAUAAAUAUAAACUACAUUGUAGAACACUUAAAAAGCGAAAGGGUCAUUCGCGCAAUUAGACCUUUCCGCAAAAACACGCAGAUCCUAGCCCCAAUGGGUCGGGUAAUCGGAUUACCCCCAAAACGACGCCGUUUUGGGCGCGUUUGGGGGUCUUUCAAAACGCCGCCGUUUUCUUAUAUUAUAAAAGUAAAAAAAAAAAUUCUAAAAAUUUCAUUUUUCUUCUUGUUUCAGAAAAAAAAAGAAAGGGGCUCUCUCUCUUUUCUCUCUUGCUCCAAGACCUCUGGUCGCCGGGCCUAUCACUGUCCGCCGUGCCGGCCACCGUCGCCAAAGGUAAUUUUUCUUCUUUUUUUUGUAUUUACUAUACAUAUUUAAGUAGAUCGAUAGAUUCAAAAAAAAAAAAAAAGUAAAGGAAUAAAAGAAAAUAAGAUCACCUCAAGUUUUCGGAUUUUUGACUUUUGAUUCUCUGGUUCGUGUUAUACUCGUGUUCUUUUCUUAUAUUUUCUUUGAUUCACUGCUUCCAUGUGUGUAUUGAAAUUGUUUCUUUUCAUUCCUUCCAGAUCCGAACCCACAACCCUUUUUCCAUUCGGCUUUUAUAGCCUUAUUUACAAGUUAUUUUCUAUUAUAUCUGUCUUUUCGUUUCACUGGUUGCAGGUGCAAGUUGUUGGAGAGGUGGUGGAGACUUGACCGGUGGAGCAGCGCUGGUCAGAUGGCAGAGGCAAGUGGGGAGUGGUUGCGGCUAGGGAGUAGGUUAGGGUUAGCUUUAGGGUUUCUUUUUCUUUUUCUAAUUUGGGCUUCUAUGUGGGGUUUGGGUAUUAGGUUGGUAUUGGGCCGAGGGUGGAUUAAAUGGUUUAAGGGGUUUGGGUUGUAAAAGGGUUAAAUGAUAUUGGGUUUGCUGUAUUGGGCUAUAAAUGGGUAGUUAGGUUUAAUUGUAAUGCAAUUGGGCUUUGUGGGUCAAAUUGGAUUAUGGGUUAGUUGGUAUAUAGGUGGGUUAUUUUGUAUUCGGGCUUUGUGUGAUGUGAACUGGCCCAAAAUUAGCUUAUAACACUUUUACUAUAGAGUAAAUUUUAUUCUCAUUACUCUAAUUUUGAGGAACAUUUUAUUUAAAUUAUUUGAGUUCAUUUAUGUCUAAAAGUUUGAACGAAUUUGAUGAUAUGUCCCUUUUGUCUUUUCUUACGUUGGUCUUGAAGUGAAAUUUCUUAAAAAUCAUACAUAAUUAUUUAAGCUUAGUUUGAAUUACCAUUCUCAAAUUUUGGAUAAAUUCAUUAAUAUUUACAAAUAUUUAUCUUCAAC
rnacentral:lncRNA from 1 species